rnacentral:rRNA from 1 species
UACGUAGGGUGCGAGCGUUAAUCGGAAUUACUGGGCGUAAAGCGUGCGCAGGCGGUUUUGUAAGCCAGAUGUGAAAUCCCCGGGCUUAACCUGGGAAUGGCAUUUGGGACUGCAAGGCUUGAGUGCGGCAGAGGAGACUGGAAUUCCUGGUGUAGCAGUGAAAUGCGUAGAUAUCAGGAGGAACACCUGCGGUGUAGACGGCUUUCUGGACCAUUGUUGACGCUGAGACACGAAAGCGUGGGUAGCAAACAGG